UACAGAGGGUGCAAGCGUUAAUCGGAAUUACUGGGCGUAAAGCGUGCGUAGACGGUUACAUAAGUCGGGUGUGAAAGCCCCGGGCUCAACCUGGGAAUUGCAUUCGAGACUGCGUAGCUAGGGUACGGAAGAGGGAGGCGGAAUUUCAGGUGUAGCGGUGAAAUGCGUAGAUAUCUGAAGGAACACCAGUGGCGAAAGCGGCCUCCUGGUCCAGUACCGACGUUCAGGCACGAAAGCGUGGGGAGCAAACAGG
rnacentral:rRNA from 2 species